CUGGGAAGGAGGGGAGGACAGAGGCAAAAUGGGAAAGACAUAGAGCCCGCUGGUGUGGUUACAGCCCCAAGCGGAGCUUUUGGAGAAUCAGAAUUACAACUUGGAUGUGUAUAUUCCCGCUAAUGAACCGGGGCUUGCCAUGGGAAGUUCUGCAAGGAAAUAAACCCGGAGGCCUGCCCGCCGCCCAGCCUGGCCUCUGGGCCCCCAGGGGAAAGCUGCCGUAUUAAAGGGGCCCAUGCCCUCAUCGCUGGAGGAGACAAGGGAGCGAGCACUUGGCUGCACCACAGAAAUUACUGCUGUACCUCGAAUGCCCGCUUCAUUUAUCAAUUUCAUAGCAGAAAAACCCAUAUGACUGCCUUGUUCACUCGUACGCUAAAUCUCGACACGAAAGCUCCCCACCGCCAGUCAAGUGUGUUAUGUGUGGGUCUGGAUAAAGUAACUUGAAAUACCA